ACUGAAAUAGCUCAGUUGGUAGAGCGUCAGACUAUAAAUCGAAGGGUCUUUGUUUCCAUCCCCGGUUCCGGCA
rnacentral:tRNA from 1 species